CUUUGAAACAAUAUAAAAACCCCAAAAUUAAGCAUUGGAAGACACUGAGAAGCAGAUGGACUACUUAGAGAUCUCAGAACUUUAUGGAAAACUGCCCUGGUCUUCUGCCAAUCACCAUACUAGAGUUCUAAAUAAGCCCACUGACAUGAUUUCCCAGUUGCCCAAAUAGGGAAAUGGAAAAAGUCAAUGAGGAAUUGCAAGGCCUUGAUCACUUCAAUACCUGGAUUUUGGUAAAUCAAACAAGUUGUAUGUCCAGUGGAUCCCUAUAUGUCAUCCAAGAACUGUAUAGGAACUUAUUUCUCUUGAAACAACCACUUUUUCCAUGGACAAUGAGCACCAUUAUGUGCUUAUCCACAUGCCAGUCAAAACUUGUGUGCAAAGAAUUCAAAAUGAGUGUAAAUAUAUUCUGUUAGUAUCACUCUCAUUAAAGGAAUGCUAAGGAAAUCUGUUAAGUAGAAAGAUUUAGUAAAAGAUUUCACAAUAUGAUAGUUAUGGUGAAGUUGGUAUUCUAAUACCCAUCAAAAUACGGAAGACAUUCUUCUCAGAUCUGGAAAAAAAUGAUGCUGAAAUUCAUAUGGAGACACAGGAGACCUCGAAUAGCUAAAGCAAUCUUGUACAACAAAAACAAAGCCGGAAGCAUCACAAUACCAGAUUUCAGGACAUACUAUAGGGCAGUUGUUAUCAAAACAGCAUGGUACUGGUACAGAAACAGAUGGAUAGACCAAUGGAACAGAAUAGAAAUACCAGAAAUCAAUCCAAACAUCUACAGCCAACUUAUAUUUGAUCAAGGAUCCAAAACCAAUCCCUGGAGCAAGGACAGUCUAUUCAAUAAAUGGUGCUGGGAAAACUGGAUUUCCAUGUGCAGAAUCAUGAAGCAAGACCCCUACCUUUCACCUUACACAAAAAUCCACUCAACAUGGAUUAAAGACUUAAAUCUACAACCCGACACCAUCAAAUUAUUAGAGAGCAUUGAAAAAACCCUGCAAGAUACAGGUACUGGCAAAGACUUCUUGGAAAAGACCCCAGAAGCACAGGCAGUCAAAGCCAAAAUUAACAUUUGGGAUUGCAUCAAACUGAGAAGUUUCUGUACUGCAAAAGAAACAGUCAGGAAAGUGAAGAGGCAACCAACAGAAUGGGAAAAAAUAUUUGCAAACUAUGCAACAGAUAAAGGGCUGAUAACCAGAAUCUACAAAGAAAUCAAGAAACUCCACAACAUCAAAACAACACACUUAAGAGAUGGGCCAAGGACCUCAAUAGACAUUUUUCAAAAGAGGAAAUCCAAAUGGCCAACAGACACAUGAAAAAAUGUUCAAGAUCACUAGCAAUCAAGGAAAUGUAAAUCAAAACCACAAUGAGGUUUCACCUCACCCCAGUUAGAAUGGCUCACAUACAGAAAUCUACCAACAACAGAUGCUGGAGAGGAUGUGCGGAAAAAGGGACACUAACCCACUGUUGGUGGGAAUACAAACUGGUUAAGCCACUAUGGAAGUCAGUCUGGAGAUUCCUCAGAAACCUGAAUAUAACCCUACCAUUCAACCCAGCCAUACCACUACUUGGAAUUUACCCAAAGGAAAUUAAAUUGGCAAACAAACAAGCUGUCUGCACCUUAAUGUUUAUUGCAGCUCAAUUCACAAGAGCUAAGACCUGGAACCAACCCAAAUGCCCAUCAACAGUAGACUGGAUAAAUUAUGGGACAUGUACUCUAUAGAAUGCUAUACAGCAGUCAAAAACAACGAAACCCAGUCAUUUGCAACAAGAUGAAGGAAUCUGGAAAACACUAUGCUGAGUGAAUUAACCCAGUCCCGAAGGGACAAAUAUCAUAUGUUCUCCCUGAUCAGCGACAACUAACUGAGCACCAAAGGGGAAACCUGUUGAAGUGAAAUGGACACUAUGAGAAACAUGACUUGAUCAGCUCUUGUCCUGACUGUUGAUGUACAAUGUAAUACUUUAUCCAUUUUAGUAUUUUUUUGUUCCAGUACUAUUGGUUGAACUCUGUAAAUAACACACAAUUAUUCUUAGGUGUUGAAAUUUUAACUGAAAAGUAAUCCCUGUUAAAUAUAAGAGUGGGAAUAAGAGAGGGAAGAGAUGUGCAAUUUGGGACAUGCUCAAUCAGACUUACCCCAAAUGGUGGAGUUAGAUACGUGCCAGGGGAUUCCAAUACAAUCCCAUCAAGGUGGCAUAUACCAAUGCCAUCUCACUAGUCCAAGUGACCAAUUUCAGUUCACAAUUGAUUACACUGAUAGGUCUAAAAGUCAAAGGGAUCACACAAAUAAGACUAGUGUCUGCUAAUACUAACUGAUAGAAUCAAAAAGGGAGAGAACGAUCCAUCAUGGAAAGCAGGAUACACAGCAGACUAAUAGAAUGGCAGAUGUCCUAAACAGCACUCUGGCCUCAGAAUCAGCCCUUAUGGCAGUCGGAUAUGGCUGAAAAGCCAAUGAGAGUAUUUUAGGCAUGGAAAGCCAAGACAAUCUGGAAAAAAAAAAAGAAGAAGAAGAAGAAGAAGACCUAAAUGAAAGAUCUUGGCAAGUGAGAUCCCAGUGGAAAGAACGGGGACAUCAAAGAAGGAGGUACCUUUCUCUGAAGGGAGGAGAGAACUUCCACUUUGACUAUGACCCUGUCAGAAUAAGAUCGAAGUCAGUGAACUCAAAAGGCUUCCAUAGCCUUGGCAACUCAUGACUAGAGCCUAGGGAGAUUACUGAUGCCAUAAACAAGAGUGUCAAAUUGUUAACUCAACAACAGGAGUCACUGUGUACCUACUUCUCAUGUGGGAUCUGUCCUUAAUGUGUUGUCCAAUGUGAAGUAAUGCUAUAACUAGUACUGAAACAGUAUUUUACACUUUGUGUUUCUGUGUGGGUGCAAACUGAUGAAAUCUUUACUUAAUAUAUACUAAAUCGAUCUUCUGUAAAUAAAGAUAAUUGAAAAUGAAUCUUGAUGUGAAUGGAAGGGGAGAGGGAGCGGGAGAUGGGAGGGGUGCUAGUGGGAGGGACGUUAUGGUGGGG